AUAAACUGUGGUAACUUGUUUGUUCAUCAAAAGAAUUGGAAUAUUAAAGGAGGAAAUAUAAAAAUUAAAGUAUAAGGGACUAGCCUGCUUGUUAGGAGAUAGGGGAGGACAAUAAAAAAAAGCAACUGCUACAAACCGCAAGGCUAUAGACAUAUUGCAAAACCGCAAGAUCACAAGUAUGAUUAAUCACCAUAUAGGGAGCUUUUUGUAGCUUUUUUGCAGACACAGGCUAAGGAUGUCGGGGGAUGGCCGGAGCUGAUUAUGAAAUCAGCGACCACCAGGCAACGGCCACCGGACUAGACAACGUAGGAGUGCUCCAGGUACGCCCAUCACUGUCCGAAGCUGAUUGUGAAAUCAGCGAUCACCUGCCUCGACACAAUGCAGAAACGACGCAGAGAGAUGCUCAAGCUACGCACACCGCUAUCGCAAAAGACACGAAUGAAGAAACCUCCAAGAAACUAUAAAAAGAAACUGAAUAAGGGAGUGGGGUGUGGGGCACUGCAGUGUGGGACACUGCAGGAGGGGCGGUUAGGAGACCCCUACCCACCCAGCGCUGUUUUGCUUGCUACUGCUUGCUGUAAUUAAUAAAAUUCUAAUUGACCUUAAAAAGGCUGAAUCAAAUUAUUCGCCUCAAUUUAUCACAAUUUGGUGCCGUGACUCGGAUAAAGGAAACCCGGGAGGGAGGCCCCACUAGGGUGAGGCGCCCCACCGCCUUUUUGCGGUGGACCUAAGGGGGGGCUUCCUCCUUGGGCCUUUACCGACGAACCUAAAACUCAGUAGCAAGCAAAGGUACCCCCGUUAAUCUUUGUGCACGAAGAACCGCGGAAGAGUGAACACGCAGGAAGCAAACGGCAGUCAGGACGGCCGAAAAGGGGUGGACUCACGCCAGCCGAGUGAAAGGCCCGGUUGCCACAAAUAACCAGUGGAGAGUGACUAGCCAGCCUGGGAACUUGAAAGUGACUCUUAAGAAAAACUAAUGAACUCUGUGGACAUUAUCCAAAUCAACCAUAAGGGGAAGCAAAGGGAUACAAUUACAAACUAGCUAAAGACUAUAUAGUGAUUUGUAAUAAGGAAGGUUGUGGAGAUUGUUAUCCUUUUGUGUGCUUUAUAUGUAAAAUUUGCCAAGAACAGUGGUGGGUCCAUUGCCAGAGGGGAAGACCACCAAUUGGGGUUUGUACUGAGUGCUAUAAAACUCAGUGAAAAUUAACUGAAACUGUGCUAAGGAUAGGAGAAUUGGAAAAUCGGUGGGUCAGUUUUGGAUCUGAGUGGUGGGAAAUAUUCUUGUUUUCAUACUAACGAGCCCACUCCAUUUGCUGCUCAGAUAAUAAAAGGGUGUUGUCGAAAGGAACUGAAGGGGAUUCCUUGCAACCCACCUCUGGUCAAAGAUAAGAACUGGGAACAGUACAAGGCUAGGCAGGAGCGGAAAAGGGGAUGCUCAGGCGAGUACUGCUGCUGCCGAGAAGAUGGUUUACCUCGCGGCUCGAAGCACCCGAGUCGGCGAGCGAGGCAGAGAGGAAAAGGCCAAGCCCCCUCUAAGUGGAACAAUGCUGAAAUGCUCCAACUAUUGCCAGCCGAGUACUAGGAUCCCUCAAAGGACCAGUCUAAGUGCCUCCGAAACACCAAGGGAGCAGCAAGCCAAAAAGGGGAAAACAGGAUAUUACGUAACAAAAACAAGGCUAGGACUCCACCCUUAUUGGCAAAUUAUUAGUUUUCUAUUGCUCUGUCCUAGUGGUGUUUCUAGUCAGGACAAUGCUGAACACUUUACUUCUAGCCUACGAAGCAGCAAAGCGAUUUGAUGAACAAAAUGGUAAAAGAGAAAAUGGGGGAUUGUGAUAAACUGUGGUAACUUGUUUGUUCAUCAAAAGAAUUGGAAUAUUAAAGGAGGAAAUAUAAAAAUUAAAGUAUAAGGGACUAGCCUGCUUGUUAGGAGAUAGGGGAGGACAAUAAAAAAGCAACUGCUACAAACCGCAAGGCUAUAGACAUAUUGCAAAACCGCAAGAUCACAAGUAUGAUUAAUCACCAUAUAGGGAGCUUUUUGUAGCUUUUUUGCAGACACAGGCUAAGGAUGUCGGGGGAUGGCCGGAGCUGAUUAUGAAAUCAGCGACCACCAGGCAACGGCCACCGGACUAGACAACGUAGGAGUGCUCCAGGUACGCCCAUCACUGUCCGAAGCCGAUUGUGAAAUCAGCGAUCACCUGCCUCGACACAACGCAGAAACGACGCAGAGAGAUGCUCAAGCUACGCACACCGCUAUCGCAAAAGACACGAAUGAAGAAACCUCCAAGAAACUAUAAAAAGAAACUGAAUAAGGGAGUGGGGUGUGGGGCACUGCAGUGUGGGACACUGCAGGAGGGGCGGUUAGGAGACCCCUACCCACCCAGCGCUGUUUUGCUUGCUACUGCUUGCUGUAAUUAAUAAAAUUCUAAUUGACCUUAAAAA